rnacentral:tRNA from 1 species
CACUAAGAAGCUAAAUCGGGAAAAGCAUUAGCCUUUUAAGCUAAAAAUUGGUGACCCCCAACCACCCUUAGUGA